rnacentral:rRNA from 1 species
GGCGGCUACCAUGCAAGUCGAGGGGUAACAGGAAGUGCUUGCACUUUGCUGACGACCGGCGCACGGGUGCGUAACGCGUAUGCAAUCUACCUCUUACUGAGGGAUAGCCCAUGGAAACGUGGAUUAAUACCUCAUGGUAUUUUAAAUUGGCAUCAAUUUAAGAUUAAAGGUUACGGUAAGAGAUGAGCAUGCGUCCUAUUAGCUAGAUGGUAAGGUAACGGCUUACCAUGGCAACGAUAGGUAGGGGUCCUGAGAGGGAGAUCCCCCACACUGGUACUGAGACACGGACCAGACUCCUACGGGAGGCAGCAGUGAGGAAUAUUGGACAAUGGGCGAGAGCCUGAUCCAGCCAUGCCGCGUGCAGGAAGACUGCCCUAUGGGUUGUAAACUGCUUUUGUAUAGGAAGAAACCUUUCCUCGUGAGGAAAAUUGACGGUACUAUACGAAUAAGGAUCGGCUAACUCCGUGCCAGCAGCCGCGGUAAUACGGAGGAUCCAAGCGUUAUCCGGAAUCAUUGGGUUUAAAGGGUCCGUAGGCGGGUUUAUAAGUCAGUGGUGAAAGUCUGCAGCUUAACUGUAGAACUGCCAUUGAUACUGUAGAUCUUGAAUCAUUAUGAAGUGGUUAGAAUGUGUAGUGUAGCGGUGAAAUGCAUAGAUAUUACACAGAAUACCGAUUGCGAAGGCAGAUCACUAAUAAUGUAUUGACGCUGAUGGACGAAAGCGUAGGUAGCGAACAGGAUUAGAUACCCUGGUAGUCUACGCCGUAAACGAUGGUUACUAGCUGUCCGGGCCUAAUUGAGGGCUGGGUGGUUAAGCGAAAGUGAUAAGUAACCCACCUGGGGAGUACGUUCGCAAGAAUGAAACUCAAGGAAUUGACGGGGGCCCGCACAGCGGUGGAGCAUGUGUUAUUCGAUGAUACGCGAGACCUUACCAGGCUUAAAUGCAGUCUGACGUACUUGAAACAGUAUUUCUUCGACAGAUUGCAGUGCUGCAUGUUGUCGUCAGCUCGUGCUGGAGGUGUCAGUUAAGUCCUAUAACGAGCGCACCCCUGUUGUAGU